rnacentral:lncRNA from 1 species
GGUGCAUCCUAUUCUAAACAGCGAAUCUGAACCUACUAUAGCCAACAUACAUAGCAAAGAUCUAAAAAGCUAGAGAUCAAGAAAAUGUGCAGUCAAACUCAGUAGCCUCACUAUGAAUAGCCAAUGACACCGUAGGUCAAAAGAUCACUCACACCACUGCAGUAUCAAAAAGAUCACUAACGAGUGAGUAGACAUCCAUAU